rnacentral:rRNA from 1 species
GAUGAACGCUAGCGGGAGGCCUAACACAUGCAAGCCGAGCGGUAUUGUUUCUUCGGAAAUGAGAGAGCGGCGUACGGGUGCGGAACACGUGUGCAACCUGCCUUUAUCUGGGGGAUAGCCUUUCGAAAGGAAGAUUAAUACUCCAUAACAUAUUGAUUGGCAUCAAUUAAUAUUGAAAGCUCCGGCGGAUAGAGAUGGGCACGCGCAAGAUUAGCUAGUUGGUGAGGUAACGGCUCACCAAGGCGAUGAUCUUUAGGGGGCCUGAGAGGGUGAUCCCCCACACUGGUACUGAGACACGGACCAGACUCCUACGGGAGGCAGCAGUGAGGAAUAUUGGUCAAUGGGUGCAAGCCUGAACCAGCCAUCCCGCGUGAAGGACGACUGCCCUAUGGGUUGUAAACUUCUUUUGUAUAGGGAUAAACCUACCCUCGUGAGGGUAGCUGAAGGUACUAUACGAAUAAGCACCGGCUAACUCCGUGCCAGCAGCCGCGGUAAUACGGAGGGUGCAAGCGUUAUCCGGAUUUAUUGGGUUUAAAGGGUCCGUAGGCGGACUUAUAAGUCAGUGGUGAAAGCCUGUCGCUUAACGAUAGAACUGCCAUUGAUACUGUAAGUCUUGAGUAUAUUUGAGGUAGCUGGAAUAAGUAGUGUAGCGGUGAAAUGCAUAGAUAUUACUUAGAACACCAAUUGCGAAGGCAGGUUACCAAGAUAUAACUGACGCUGAGGGACGAAAGCGUGGGGAGCGAACAGGAUUAGAUACCCUGGUAGUCCACGCCGUAAACGAUGCUAACUCGUUUUUGGGCUUUAGGGUUCAGAGACCAAGCGAAAGUGAUAAGUUAGCCACCUGGGGAGUACGCUCGCAAGAGUGAAACUCAAAGGGAUUGACGGGGGCCCGCACAAGCGGUGGAUUAUGUGGUUUAAUUCGAUGAUACGCGAGGAACCUUACCAAGACUCAAAUGGGAAUUGACAGCUUUAGAAAUAGAGCUUUCUUCGGACAAUUUUCAAGGUGCUGCAUGGUUGUCGUCAGCUCGCGCCGUGAGGUGUUAGGUUAAGUCCUGCAACGAGCGCAACCCCUGUCACUAGUUGCCAUCAUUCAGUUGGGGACUCUAGUGAGACUGCCUACGCAAGUAGAGAGGAAGGUGGGGAUGACGUCAAAUCAUCACGGCCCUUACGUCUUGGGCCACACACGUAAUACAAUGGCCGGUACAGAGGGCAGCUACACAGCGAUGUGAUGCAAAUCUCGAAAGCCGGUCUCAGUUCGGAUUGGAGUCUGCAACUCGACUCUAUGAAGCUGGAAUCGCUAGUAAUCGCGCAUCAGCCAUGGCGCGGUGAAUACGUUCCCGGGCCU